rnacentral:rRNA from 1 species
CCUACGGGAGGCAGCAGUGAGGAAUAUUGGUCAAUGGGAGGAAUCCUGAACCAGCCAUGCCGCGUGCAGGACGACGGCUCUACGAGUUGUCAACUGCUUUUGUACCGGGGUAAAAUGCCUUACGUGUAGGGUUUUGCAAGUACGGUACGAAUAAGGAUCGGCUAACUCGGUGCCAGCCGCCGCGGUAAGACGGAGGAUCCGAGCGUUAUCCGGAUUCAUUGGGUUUAAAGGGUGCGUAGGUUGUUUUAAAAGUUAGCGGUGAAAUACCGAUGCUCAACAUCGGGGCUGCAGCUAAUACUGUAGGACUAGAGAUCUGAUGCAGCAGGCGGAAUGUGUAGUGUAGCGGUGAAAUGCAGAGAUAUUACACAGAACACCGAUUGCGAAGGCAGCUUGCUAGGCCGGAUCUGACACUGAUGCACGAAAGCGUGGGGAUCGAACAGGAUUAGAUACCCUAGUAGUC